rnacentral:tRNA from 1 species
CGGUGCUUAGCUCAGUAGUGUAGAGCGCUCCGUUUGGGACGGAGGGGUCGUGGGUUCGAGUCCUACAGUGCCGACCA